rnacentral:rRNA from 1 species
AGAGUUUGAUCAUGGCUCAGAACGAACGUUGGCGGUGUGGAUUAGGCAUGCAAGUCGCGCGCGAAAGUCUUCGGACGAGUAAAGCGGCGGACGGGCGAGUAAUGCGUAAUCAACCUGCCCCCGAGACUGGAAUAGCCACUGGAAACGGUGGGUAAUGCCAGAUGGCCCCCCGGAUCGGCAUCGAUCCGUGGGUAAACGGUGGCGCAAGCUGCUGCUCGGGGAGGGGAUUACGUCCUAUCAGCUAGUUGGUGGGGUAAUGGCUCGCCAAGGCGAUGACGGGUAGCUGGUCUGAGAGGACGACCAGCCGCACUGGGACUGAGAUACUGCCCAGACUCCUACGGGAGGCUGCAGUCGAGAAUCUUCCGCAAUGGGCGAAAGCCUGACGGAGCGACACCGCGUGCAGGACGAAGGCCCUCGGGUUGUAAACUGCUGUCGAGCUCUAGGAAUGCCGUACUGUUAACAGCGGUACGGUUGACCAAGGCAGAAGGAAGUGGCGGCUAACUCUGUGCCAGCAGCCGCGGUAAGACAGAGGCCACGAACGUUGUUCGGAAUCACUGGGCAUAAAGCGCACGUAGGCGGCUAGGUCCGUCCGAUGUGAAAGCCCCCGGCUCAACCGGGGAAUGGCAUCGGAUACAGCCUGGCUCGAGGACGGUUGGGGUGAGUGGAACUCCUGGUGGAGCGGUGAAAUGCGUAGAUAUCAGGAGGAACACCGGUGGCGAAAGCGGCUCACUGGACCGUUUCUGACGCUGAGGUGCGAAAGCUAGGGGAGCAAACGGGAUUAGAUACCCCGGUAGUCCUAGCCGUAAACGAUGGGCACUGGGUAGGG